rnacentral:rRNA from 1 species
GGUAGGGUAACCUGCCUGUAAGACUGGGAUAACUCCGGGAAACCGGGGCUAAUACCGGAUGGUUGUUUGAACCGCAUGGUUCAGACAUAAAAGGUGGCUUCGGCUACCACUUACAGAUGGACCCGCGGCGCAUUAGCUAGUUGGUGAGGUAACGGCUCACCAAGGCAACGAUGCGUAGCCGACCUGAGAGGGUGAUCGGCCACACUGGGACUGAGACACGGCCCAGACUCCUACGGGAGGCAGCAGUAGGGAAUCUUCCGCAAUGGACGAAAGUCUGACGGAGCAACGCCGCGUGAGUGAUGAAGGUUUUCGGAUCGUAAAGCUCUGUUGUUAGGGAAGAACAAGUGCCGUUCAAAUAGGGCGGCACCUUGACGGUACCUAACCAGAAAGCCACGGCUAACUACGUGCCAGCAGCCGCGGUAAUACGUAGGUGGCAAGCGUUGUCCGGAAUUAUUGGGCGUAAAGGGCUCGCAGGCGGUUUCUUAAGUCUGAUGUGAAAGCCCCCGGCUCAACCGGGGAGGGUCAUUGGAAACUGGGGAACUUGAGUGCAGAAGAGGAGAGUGGAAUUCCACGUGUAGCGGUGAAAUGCGUAGAGAUGUGGAGGAACACCAGUGGCGAAGGCGACUCUCUGGUCUGUAACUGACGCUGAGGAGCGAAAGCGUGGGGAGCGAACAGGAUUAGAUACCCUGGUAGUCCACGCCGUAAACGAUGAGUGCUAAGUGUUAGGGGGUUUCCGCCCCUUAGUGCUGCAGCUAACGCAUUAAGCACUCCGCCUGGGGAGUACGGUCGCAAGACUGAAACUCAAAGGAAUUGACGGGGGCCCGCACNAGCGGUGGAGCAUGUGGUUUAAUUCGAAGCAACGCGAAGAACCUUACCAGGUCUUGACAUCCUCUGACAAUCCUAGAGAUAGGACGUCCCCUUCGGGGGCAGAGUGACAGGUGGUGCAUGGUUGUNGUCAGCUCGUGUCGUGAGAUGUUGGGUUAAGUCCCGCAACGAGCGCAACCCUUGAUCUUAGUUGCCAGCAUUCAGUUGGGCACUCUAAGGUGACUGCCGGUGACAAACCGGAGGAAGGUGGGGAUGACGUCAAAUCAUCAUGCCCCUUAUGACCUGGGCUACACACGUGCUACAAUGGRCAGAACAAAGGGCAGCGAAACCGCGAGGUUAAGCCAAUCCCACAAAUCUGUUCUCAGUUCGGAUCGCAGUCUGCAACUCGACUGCGUGAAGCGGAAUCGCUAGUAAUCGCGGAUCCAGCCAUGCCGCGGUGAAUC